GCGGGGAUAGCUCAGCUGGGAGAGCGUCAGACUGAAGUCAAUACUUUGGUAACUAUUUAUCUGAAGGCCCCGUGUUCGAUCCACGGUCACCGCA
rnacentral:tRNA from 1 species